rnacentral:rRNA from 1 species
CCCUUAGAUGUUCUGGGCCGCACGCGCGCUACACUGAUGCAUUCAACGAGUCUAAAACCUGGUCUGAUAGGGCUGGGUAAUCUUUUGAAAGUGCAUCGUGAUUGGGAUAGAUGAUUGCAAUUCUUCAUCUUCGACGAGGAAUGCCUAGUAAACGCAAGUCAUCAGCUUGCAUUGAUUACGUCCCUGCCCCUUGUACACACCGCCCGUCGCUGCCCGGAACUGAGCCGUUUCGAGAAAGCCGGGGACCGACGGCUUGUGGGUGCGCAAGCACUUCUUGCCGAUGGAAACCAGUUUAAUCGGUAUGGCUUGAACCGGGCAAAAGUCGUAACA